GCCCUGAUAGCUCAAUGGAUAGAGUAACAUUCUGACUAAGUGUUGUGUGAGAGUUUGAACCUCUCUCGGGGUG
rnacentral:tRNA from 1 species